rnacentral:rRNA from 1 species
CUACCCAGUUGUCACAGUCUCGUGAUGAUGGCGGAAAGGUCACACCUGUUCCCAUCUCGAACACAGAAGUUAAGCUUUCCAGCGCCGAUGGUACUUGGACCGCAGGGUCCUGGGAGAGUAGGACGUCGCGAGGC